GGGGGGGGGCGGCCGGGGGGGGGGGAGAAAAAGAGGCGGAAAGGGUCGAGAGGCGAGCAUGGAAAAGAAAAGAUGAAGUCUUUCUACAUUGUUGGUUUUCGGAAAUCGACUUAAUGAUUAAUAGGGACAGUCGGGGGCAUUAGUAUUCAGACGACAGAGGUGAAAUUCUUGGACCGUCUGAAGACUAACUACUGCGAAAGCAUUUGCCAAGAAUGUUUUCAUUAAUCAAGAACGAAAGUUAGAGGUUCGAAGGCGAUCAGAUACCGCCCUAGUUCUAACCAUAAACGAUGCUACCUAGCGAUCCGCAGUUGUUUAUUAUUACGACUCUGCGGGGAAGCUUCCGGGAAACCAAAGGGUUUGAGUUCCGGGGGAAGUAUGGUUGCAAAGCUGAAACUUAAAAGAAUUGACGGAAGGGCACCACCAGGAGUGGAGCCUGCGGCUUAAUUUGACUCAACACGGGAAAUCUCACCAGGCCCGGACACUGUGAGGAUUGACAGAUUGAGAGCUCUUUCUCGAUUCCGUGGGUGGUGGUGCAUGGCCGUUCUUAAUUGGUGGAAUGAUUUGGCUGGGUAAUUCCGAUAACGAACGAAACUCUGGCCUGGUAAAUAGUUUCAAUGGCAUUUUUUUUGCGUUGAAAAUUCUUCUUAGAGGGACUGGUAGCGUCUAGCUACACGAGAUUGAGCAAUAACAGGUCUGUGAUGCCCUUAGAUGUUCUGGGCUGCACGCGCGCUACACUGAAAGGAUCAGCGUGUUUUCCCUGAUCGAGAGAUUCGGGUAACCCGUUGAACCCCUUUCGUGGCUAGGGAUCGGGGGCUUGCAAUUAUUCCCCGUGAACCAGGAAUUCCCAGUAAGCGUAAGUCAUAAGCUUACGUUGAUUACGUCCUGCCCCCUUUGUAAAAAAUUCUGAUUAGGUUGGGUAGAAUAAAAAAAAUAUUUUUGCCCUUUUCCCCCUGGUGUCUUGGGAUACUGUCGGGUUUACUUUGAAAAAAUUAGAGUGCUCAAAGCAGGCUGUUAAAAGCUUGAAUAUUCGUGCAUGGAAUAAUAAAAUAGGAAGUCGUUUCUAUUUUGUUGGUUUUCGGAAAUCGACUUAAUGAUUAAUAGGGACAGUCGGGGGCAUUAGUAUUCAGACGACAGAGGUGAAAUUCUUGGACCGUCUGAAGACUAACUACUGCGAAAGCAUUUGCCAAGAAUGUUUUCAUUAAUCAAGAACGAAAGUUAGAGGUUCGAAGGCGAUCAGAUACCGCCCUAGUUCUAACCAUAAACGAUGCUACCUAGCGAUCCGCAGUUGUUUAUUAUUACGACUCUGCGGGAAGCUUCCGGGAAACCAAAGGGUUUGAGUUCCGGGGGAAGUAUGGUUGCAAAGCUGAAACUUAAAAGAAUUGACGGAAGGGCACCACCAGGAGUGGAGCCUGCGGCUUAAUUUGACUCAACACGGGAAAUCUCACCAGGCCCGGACACUGUGAGGAUUGACAGAUUGAGAGCUUUUUCUCGAUUCGGUGGGUGGUGGUGCAUGGCCGUUUUUAGUUGGGGGAGUGAUUUGUCUGGUUAAUUCCGAUAACGAACGAGACUCUGUCCUGCUAAAUAGUUUCAAUGUCAUUUUUUUUGCGUUGAAAAUUCUUCUUAGAGGGACUGGUAGCGUCUAGCUACACGAGAUUGAGCAAUAACAGGUCUGUGAUGCCCUUAGAUGUUUUGGGCUGCACGCGCGCUACACUGAAAGGAUCAGCGUGUUUUCCCUGAUCGAGAGAUUGGGGUAACCCUGGUCCCCUUUCGUGGCUUGUGUCCGGCUUGCGUUCUCCCCGGUCCGGCUUCCCCCCCCCCGGCCCCCCCCA
rnacentral:rRNA from 1 species